AAGUCGUAACAAGGUUUCCGUAGGUGAACCUGCGGAAGGAUCAUUAUUGAAUGAAUAUAGAGUUGGGGGUUGUUGCUGGCCUUUUUCUAACAGAGAAGGCAUGUGCACACACCCUUCUCUUUCAUCCACACACACCUGUGAACUUGUGAGACUGAGGACUAGUAAAAUAGUCUUUGGUCUACUUUAAACACACACAAAAUCUAUUUUAUUUAAACUGAAUGUAAUUGAUGUAACACAUCAUUAGAAACUAAGUUUCAACAACGGAUCUCUUGGCUCUCGCAUCGAUGAAGAACGCAGCGAAAUGCGAUAAGUAAUGUGAAUUGCAGAAUUCAGUGAAUCAUCGAAUCUUUGAACGCACCUUGCGCUCCUUGGUAUUCCUUGGAGCAUGCCUGUUUGAGUAUCUUGAAAUUCUCAAAGUAAAAUCUUUUGUUCAUUCAAUUGGUUGUGCUUUGGAUUUGGAGGUCUUGCAGAUUUCACAGUCUGCUCCUCUUAAAUAAAUUAGCUGGAUCUCGGUAUACACUUGGUUCCUACUCGGCGUGAUAAUGUAUCACUCGCUGAGGACACUGUUAAAAAGGUGGCCAGGCAAUGCAGAUGAACCGCUUCUAAUAGUCCAUUUAUUUGGACAACAAUAAAUAUUUACAAUAUUUAUGAUCUGAUCUCAAAUCAGGUAGGACUACCCGCUGAACUUAAGCAUAUCAAUAAGCGGAGGAAAAGAAACUAACAAGGAUUCCCCUAGUAACGGCGAGUGAAGCGGGAAGAGCUCAAAUUUAAAAUCUGGCGGUGUAUUCCGUCCGAGUUGUAGUCUAGAGAA
rnacentral:misc_RNA from 1 species